GGCAGGCUUUGGAAAAAGAGACUUUACUUUCUGGAUUCCCUCUCAGGCCCUCAGGAGAGGAACAUUGCUGAAAUUCAGACUUUCCAUGAGCAGCAUUUGGGUGUGUGCAGCUGUCUGCUCAUGAGGCUAGCAAUGGAAUAUCCAGCUAAAUAUGCCACCAGGAAACAAGUUUGAAGUGGAAGGGCUGAAGCAUUGUAAAGACACUCAGUUCUUGUGAUAGUUCUAGCCUGACAAAGAGCAAGAAGCAUGCAUCAUAAAUCUCCUGAGAAGACUGCCAGGGAGAGAUUUCCACUCCACUUUUGGAGAAGCAAGACAUUUGGCUCAAGUUCAGCCCUCAGCUUGACUCCCUCAAAAUGUUUUAAAGAGCAUCCAUACCUGAAGCCAGAAGAACCAUGUGUCAAGGGAAUGAAGACUGCUCCAGGUUGCAUUGGAUGUGGGAAACCAGCAGCGUCUACAUGGAGAAUUAGGAAACAUCUGCCCAACAUGAGAUCCCUAGGGAGCCUUUCCAGCAUCUCCUGGGUGAUCCCACAGUCUUCCUCCACCUUGUUCAUGGUGGAUGUUGCUUUUGGGACCUCAUUUGCAGGCAACAUUGUGCUAUGGGCCAGGUUAUCCUUCAGGUGAGCAUCACUCCUGUUCUCAAUGUUCAGCUUGUCUUGCAUUGAGUGUUGUGUUAUUUCACUGGUAAGGUCAUAGGGGAGAGCAGGCAGCAUGUGAGCCUCACUGUCUCAUUAGCAACAGGCUCCCACUUGAACCUCACAUCUGCAGAGCUGGCUGCCCAUCUGAAUUUUAUGGCUUGGCCUCUCAUCCAGCGUGACACCAUUUCUCCUGAAUGCUGACUUUUGGUGGUUAGUUGCAAGGAGAAUUUAGUCUGGGAAGCCAACAAGAGCUGCUCAGUCUUCAGUGCUUUUGAAAAAUCAGGCCACUUAUGUAGGCACCUUAAGAUGGACUUGGGAACCUAACUUUAAAUGCAUAUUUUGGAACAUCUUGGCCAUGCUAUCUUUUUUUUUUUUUUUUUCCCCAGAGAACAAGCAGCCUCUCAGCUAGGAGGUGGUGUCACGUGGGAUAGAGCCUGCCUUAACAUGGGGGAAAGUGAUAAACCUUACAGGAAAUAUAUAAAACAUACAUGGCAAAACCAAGUUUACUAUUUAAAUUGCCCUCUUAAAAUGGGGCAACCCCUGCACAGACACACACAAGUAAAAAUGCCCUGCUACCAAUAUAAAUAUAUCGGUAACCUUUUCUGACCAGGCAAACACCCAGCUUGUUCUUGGUUCUAACACUGGUUACUUUAUAUGGCUAUUGAGUGAUUGGUCAUUCUGUGUUUGUAGAGCACCUAGCACAAUUGGGGUCCAUUGACUGGGAUCCAUGACUGAGGUGCUAGAAUAAUAUAAAUAAUAAUAGUGCACCUUCUGCGUGGGGCUAAUGGCCUGCCAGCUAUUUGCUGCCUUCCCUCUGUGCAGACAGAGCAAAAGCUGUCUGCGUAUGAGCCUGGUGAACAAGGUGAAAGAAUAACAGCUGUAAUAAAAAGAAAAUGAAUACCUGUGGCACCUUAGAGAUUAACAAAUUUAUGCAU